rnacentral:tRNA from 1 species
GAGCCAGUGUAGUGUAGUGGUUUGAGCAUUGGACUAUGACUCUGGAGGUCAGGGUUCAAAUUCCAGCUUGCCCA